rnacentral:misc_RNA from 1 species
GUAAGGAUGUCAUUCUUUGUCCAGAUGCAUAAUAACCAUGGGGCAUACUAAAUGUGGCCUACAGUUUAAUUGACAGUGAAAAAUAUGCACAAAACUCAGUAAUGACAUGAAUUUACAAGUCAAACGAGGACCAGAGAACCAAUCUGCAGACAGAACAGUCAGCAAAAAUGUGGUAUUAUUAUACUGUUUAAUCAUACUCAUAAAAGGAUAUAACGACUCCCAGAGGGCCUUUCAAAAGAAUAUCAGCAGCACAAUGAUAGGCCUCUCAAAUCUACUUAUGCACAAGCACAAGGUAAAAAGAUAUGAUACGAAUUAAAAAUCGUACAAAAUUUUGCAUGCCAAGCAAACUAUCUAUUUAUUCCAUUUUUUUUUUGUGAUGAGAU